rnacentral:lncRNA from 1 species
UGACAACAUCCAUAAGCAUCACUCAUGUCAAUCAACAUAAACAUUCAUGAGCAUCACUCAUGUCAAUCAGCUUCAAAAGCUUCAUUUAUAGAGCUCUAGCUUCAAAAGCUUCAUUUACAGAGCUCUAGCUUCAAAAGCUUCAUUUACAAAAGCUCCAGCUUCGAAAGCUUCAUUUACAGAGCUCUAGCUUCAAAGCUUCACUUGCAAAGCUUCACCUAUAAA